rnacentral:rRNA from 1 species
GAUGAACGCUGGCGGCGUGCCUAAUACAUGCAAGUCGAGCGAACAGACGAGGAGCUUGCUCCUCUGACGUUAGCGGCGGACGGGUGAGUAAAACGUGGAUAACCUACCUAUAAGACUGGGAUAACUUCGGGAAACCGGAGCUAAUACCGGAUAAUAUAUUGAACCGCAUGGUUCAAUAGUGAAGGACGGUUUUGCUGUCACUUAUAGAUGGAUCCGCGCCGCAUUAGCUAGUUGGUAAGGUAACGGCUUACCAAGGCGACGAUGCGUAGCCGACCUGAGAGGGUGAUCGGCCACACUGGAACUGAGACACGGUCCAGACUCCUACGGGAGGCAGCAGUAGGGAAUCUUCCGCAAUGGGCGAAAGCCUGACGGAGCAACGCCGCGUGAGUGAUGAAGGUCUUCGGAUCGUAAAACUCUGUUAUUAGGGAAGAACAAAUGUGUAAGUAACUAUGCACGCCUUGACGGUACCUAAUCAGAAAGCCACGGCUAACUACGUG